UACGUAGGGUGCAAGCGUUAUCCGGAAUUAUUGGGCGUAAAGAGCUCGUAGGCGGUUUGUCGCGUCUGCUGUGAAAACUGGAGGCUCAACCUCCAGCCUGCAGUGGGUACGGGCGGACUUGAGUACUGCAGGGGAGACUGGAAGUUCCUGGUGUAGCGGUGAAAUGCGCAGAUAUCGGGAAGAACACCCGUGGCGAAGGCGGCACUCUGGGACGGUACUGACGCUGAGACGCGAAAGCGUGGGGAGCGAACGAGG
rnacentral:rRNA from 1 species